CACAGUUCAGCCACAGCUUAGCGGACUGUAGCAGAACUCACAGCUUCUCCCGGAGUGAAACAAAUACGACAAUGAUCGUGCUUUGAAGUCUUCACCCAUGUUCUCGAGGAGGAAUAAGGGCACAUUGCUGAAUGACACCAGAUAACUGAGAAUCUGUAUCCUAGUGGAACUGAACCUGGGUCCUCGUACUUGCUGACCACCAAUCUCAGCCCUAGAGCUGGAUUCUAAUCCCAGCUCUGCUGAUCUUCUGGACUGAAACUCAGCCUCACACCUCCCUGGAAUGCUGCCUUCCAGAUUCUUGGACAUUCAUUCAAAAGGAACUCGAAGCCUCACUGGAUAUUUAGAUUAGACCUUUGUGAUGUGCAUCAGUGACCUGUGAUGUCUGCUUCUUCCCAAAGCAGAGGCUAGAUUUCACCCUGCUGUGCAUCCUGGAGACUCUGAGACAGACUUGUAUCUGACUUGCGCUCCAGUCAUGCACUUCGCUGCUUCUGGGAGGUGGAGCUGAAUUUAACACCUGCUCCUUUGGAGAGACUUGGAUUCACAUCCAGUGCAUCUCUACAGACUGGGCUUGAGUGAGUUUCGGACCUGUUGCUGACUCUGUGAAGAGCUUCUUGAAGCAGCUGUUUUAUCCCGUUAUUAGUUCAAGUCCCAAAGAAUAAUAGCAGGAACUGUA
rnacentral:sRNA from 1 species